rnacentral:rRNA from 1 species
GAUGAACGCUAGCUACAGGCUUAACACAUGCAAGUCGCGGGGCAGCAUGGGGGUUGCUUGCCAUCCCCGAUGGCGACCGGCGCACGGGUGAGUAACGCGUAUCCAACCUGCCCUUCACCACGGGAUAACCCGGCGAAAGUCGGACUAAUACCGUAUGUUGUCCAUUGACGGCAUCCGAUUUGGACGAAAGGCUUGGCGGUGAGGGAUGGGGAUGCGUCCGAUUAGCCAGACGGCGGGGUAACGGCCCACCGUGGCUACGAUCGGUAGGGGUUCUGAGAGGAAGGUCCCCCACACUGGAACUGAGACACGGUCCAGACUCCUACGGGAGGCAGCAGUGAGGAAUAUUGGUCAAUGGGCGUAAGCCCGAACCAGCCAAGUAGCGUGCAGGAUGACGGCCCUAUGGGUUGUAAACUGCUUUUAUGCGGGGAUAAAGUGGCCCACGUGUGGGCUUUUGCAGGUACCGCAUGAAUAAGGACCGGCUAAUUCCGUG